GGAUCUCUGGAAACAAGGUUAUUUUUUGCAGCACCUUUUAAUAUAAGGAUUUUCCUAAGCAGGGUUUGUUUGUGGUGCUUUGCAAGGAGACAAGCUGUCGAGAGAGCUUCCCGUUUGCUCAAAGAAUGCAAAUGUGAAGAUUUUGAAUGUUGUCUCUUACUCCUUAUAGUAAUUAAAGAUGUGUGCUUUCUGUUCAGUCUACUUCACCCAUUUAUUUAUCUUUUGCUAAAGCUUGGUGCUGAAUUUGUUAGAUAAAUAUUUACAUUGCAACAUUCUGUUCUAAAUGAGCGCUGAGUCAAUCUGGUUGAAUUUGCACGCACCCAGUGUUCUGCUCUGGGGCUGUGCUGUCAGGUGAGUGCCUUUGCUUUGGCAGAAAGGACCUAAAAGGGAGUGAGUGGGGAAAAGGGAGCCUUUGCUCAGUUGUGCAAGUUCUUUUGUAUUUUCUCUUGUGAACAUGCAAUUUACUUCCUUAAAAUUGAUGGUGUAAGUUAAACCUCGGAAGAUGUCUUUAAUUUACAGUGAAGAAAAGGGUAAAACCGUAAGUAUGUGUCCCCUCAGUGCUGCUCAGUGUAUUGGGUCUCUUCACGCAGAGUCCCCACCCAAGCAGAAGUUCAGAGCACAUCCAUCCAUAAGGCUCACUCAGUUCAGCACAAGAUCCUAACUUUUGAGCUCAGAGCACCUUGGCAUGGUGGGGUGAAACGGGAUCGCCAGACAGCUCUAGGCUGUGCUGCAUCUUGUGGGUAGGUGACAGACCUUACUCUUGGUCACAAGUCUAGUAGUGUUCACCAAAAUGAAAUUGAUGGGAUUAUGUCUGUAAAGAAGGGCCAGCUCACAGGUGGAGGUUACAAUACCUAGUUCUGAAAGGAUGUGAAUCCAGAGGGCACAGGCAGGCCUGGCGCUGGAGUCUUGCAUCCUCGGAAGGACCAGCUUGUACGUUGCUCCCUUUGUUCGCUGCCUCGUGCUGCUUGUCCUGCUGCACCAGGCUUUGAUGCUGCUCUUCUUUUCACCCAGACUGCACUUCUCACUGACCUCAUCUCUUCAACUGCUUGAUGCCAGGAACUGCCAUGGGAGACCUCAGGACACAAGGCUCUAGCCACUGACAGAUCCUUAGGAAAUCAGAGCUUCCCUGGGAGUGACGCUUCACAGGAAACAAGAUAUCUAAGGGGCCAUGAUGAACUCAGAAGUGUGGCAAUGAACCAAAGCUGCUUCAUGGCGUCAGCUUUCUAAGUGAUACAGAAGGACCAGGACCUACCACCGCCCUCCUGUCUGCGUGGUUUGCAUGACAGAUUUGACAGUCUGGUGGCAAACAACUGCAGACCAACUCACAUGAACUUGUACAAGAAGGUAAAGGACAGAAACACUCGGUAAGAGACCAACCACUGCAUUUCUGACCCCUCACUCCUGACCUUCAAGGAAGGUAUCCGAUGGUGAUUCCAAAGACAAUCUGAGACUAAAAUGCCUGACUCUAAGAUAUAAAAGUCACACAGAUACUGACUGCAUAUUACGUUACAGUUUUUGCUACCACCAGCCAUCCCUAGGCAAUAAAUAUUCCUGUCUUCUGUCUCUCUUGCUCUCUCUUUGUGCCAUAAGUGACAUUAUCAGCUGUCCUCUGGUUAGUAUCCUCCCUUUGAUCAACAGGAACCCAUCACCCCUUCUCACAAAUUGCCUAAUUCAUUAAUACGAUGAAGUUUAACUCAGAACAAUUAUUCUCAACCUGCAUUUAGCUCUAAGGUUAUUGCUUCUAUUUCAGACCUAAGGAAGCCUUAUGUGCCUGAAAGCAUGUGUAGUUUCUCCAAGUACACCAGCUGACCUAAUAAACGGUGUGCCCUCUCCCUGCCCUUGCCUGACUUACGUCUUGCACUGCCCUCACUACAACAUGUCUGCUGCACUGCUGUGCUUGUUCCCAUUCAGCUGAGUCUACAAAUCAAGGCAUAGCCUUGAUGAGCUACUAGGGAGGUACUCUGCUAGCCCAGUUAGUAGGAGCCAAGCUUAGGCAUCACGUGGAGGAGAUGCUCCAUCUGCCAAGCCAUCAUCCCACCUUGUCUGGGAUUGCCUUGCUUGUGGCAUGUUGCUGUGGCCGGUGGGAGAUAAGCAAAGUUGCUGGUGACACUGGAGACCUGUGAGCAAGGCUGCCUUGACGGCCACCUCAGGACGUGUUUGUGGAUGAUGAACUUUCGGAGGUCGGUACGGUUGUCUUUCCUUUUUUGCUUGGUGUCUCUGUGGUUUUAAGAGCGCAGCAUUUGGCAGAGCUUAGCUGCCGGAGCCCAGAUCAGUUAAAUUUAGUGUCUGACCUCAUCUUUACCAAUCAAUCCAUUUUUCAGUGUUCUGAUGUAUGGACUCUCUCUUUCCUUGCUAAGUCUUUGAAAAUCCUAGGUUACCCCUACUGAUUUAUCUUUCCAUUUUCCUUCAAGGUCUUCCUUAAUACUUGCUUUUCCUUCCCAAACCGAGCCACUCUCCCCCUUCUGCUUGUUUGAGGUCUGUGCCUCACCUGUAUAAUUUGCAGUGUAUUAUCCAAUGGAGACUGUAAUCUCUUCAGGGCAGGGCUGUGUCCCUCCCCAGACUCACAGUUGCCUGUUUUAUUUUAUAAGGUUGAAUACGAAGGACAGAGAUACAGGAGUAUACAGGCACUCCCAAGUAAUACCCACUGUGUAUUUUGUGAUCUCUGUGCACAAAACAAAUGCAGGAACAAUUGUUAUUAGUAACAUGGUUUACAUUGUACCACGGGAGCCUUGAGAAGAAGUAGAGGCUUUAGGCAAAGCAGCUUCCUUUACAAAACACUUGUGGAACAUAUUUAUCUAAAAAUACACAUACUUGUGGUAGAGAAUGAUGUUCCUCUGCUGAUCUAUAGUUAAUUGUCAAUGGCAACACGGGACUUUUAAAUCUUGUAAACAAUCCUGCUGUAGUAAUAUCAUCUGCUUUAUCCUUUCCUUCUUUGCAGCAUCCUAAAGCCCUUCCCAGGCUGAUUUCCAUGGCCUCUGUUGCUGUUGAAAGAGUCCUGCUCACUUGGCUCUACCACUGUGCCCACAGAGGCUCAGAAAAGGAAAACGGAUGGGGAGGAGGAUGACCCUGUUCAGCUGCAGCAGAGGUAAGUGUGGGGAGAGCAACCUGAACUGUGCAGGACAGGCGUCUGCCUUCAGCGCUCACUGUAAAUGUUCCUCUGCACAGAGGCGCUGUGGGUAAUAUGCGGUUAAUAGUGCAUUCUCAAGUGCAUUUUGGGCUGAGAUCUCCAAUGAGCUUGGCUUUCUGAUGCCUGCACAAAUGGACUCCACAUACUUAAAUGUCUGCCUGACGGAAUUAGAAAAUGAGUGAUGUGUAAGAGGAGAUGGGGAUGGGGGAGGCUGACUUUGAGACGACUCCAAAAGCCAGACUGGGUAGAGCUAGCAUUUUGACUUUGCCUAUUUUCCAGCCUGGGGGCCAUCCAGCCUGACCUUGCCACUGAAGGCAUUGCUGUGGGGUGGCAACUGGCCCAUUCCCUCUCCUGACACGUGUGUUUCCUCGAACAAAAGGCUCAUUCCAGCUGGGAAUGCUACAGCCGGGCUCUUAACGUUGUCCGGUUCCCAGCUGCUUUUUGGAAAGAGCAACUGUGUUCAAGUGCCCGCCUUUGAGUCACCUCAGUGGGGCACUGUCAUCUUGGAUAGUUCAGUCGUUAUUAUCUUGGAUAGUUCAGGCUUUUGUCAUAUAUAAAAAAGACACCUGUAUUAUUUGCAAGCAGUUAGUCAUCUGCUGGCCACAGUGGGCUUGUUUUCCUUACAGAUGUUUAGGAUCACAUCACUGUUACAGGCAGAGGGGAAAAAUGUCUGUAGAUGUUCGGAUUAGUCACAUAACUGCUGCAGUUAUCUUCAUUCAGAGCCUUUUCUUUCACUCCCAGUUAGAACUCCUGAACUUGAGGGCUGUAUCCAAUCUCCAGCCUUUCCCAUAAUGACAUUUACCUGGGCAGGCUGAAAGACAAAAGGGAGCUCAGGCUUUUAUAACCUUUAGCCAGUUUUUUCUUUACUUGGUUUACUUUUCAUAACCACUUACUAAAUCAUGCAGUGGAGAGUGGGGAAGGAAAGUCUGUGACCUGCUCACCAUGCUUGCCUGCUCCUGGCUUCCAGCAGUGGUUCUGAUUUCUCUGGCCUCCACUCCCCAUCAGCAUGAGAACAGGCCCAUGUGUUAUCGCUGUCCCUGGCGUUGAGGUGGGGAUGGAGCAGAAGAGAGGUGGAGGAGCAGUCAGCCUUCCCCUGUGGAGCCAGGAACGAGGUGAGCCAUGGACUUUGGCACCAUGAAGGUUGGCCUUAUUCUCCUGUGAAAUGCGUGAUCCCUCCCACAGCACAGGGAAAGAGAAAGUAUUAUUUGCUUUCCAUCCAUUCAAUACCCUCUGCUUCAUCAGGAUGUGCUUAAACUGGGGACAACUGCUUUAGGGGAUGUUUUUAAAGGAGCUGAUGCUGAGUGGGACUGAAUGGCAGUGGCUGUCAGUUCAUGUAGAAAGAGGCAUGAAUCCUUCUUUGCUGGGGAUGACUGGAGCUGUGCAGUGCCCACAGCAAAGAUGCGUGACACUCAAUAGUUUCCUAGCAGUUUGGGAUAAGCCAAAGUCAAGACAAAAUGAAGGAAAACUGGAAAUUGGUCUCUAUUACUUGUAACUCUUUGAAGUCCUCUUAGAAGCGGACCCCAAAAGGCCACCAAAAGUCAAUGGAUUUAUCCCGAUGGUCCCUGUGUGGUGCAGUCAGCCCAGGGCGAAGGGUCUGUGCUGGGUGCUUUGCUGCUGCAGGUGUUGUUUGCAUUUCAGAGGUCAGGUUCUGGGAGGCCACUUGCAGAGCAAAUGCCUUUGCUGUGCACGUAGUCCUCAUGAACUGGAAGAACCUGAAGUACUGGUAAAAAGGGGACCCUGCAGCCAGCUCCUGCCAGGAUUCACUCGGGGAUCCUUCCUUCCUUGUCCCUUCCAGAAAUGAACUAACAUUAGCUGGGAGGUGCCUUUCUAACGUGGCAGCUGGCCCACAAGGCUGUGCUGAGGCACGGCUGGGUCUAGGAUGCACUAAAAAUAUAGGUGACAAAUGCAAACAUUGACUUUUGCUGGGGUGGAAGUGUGUCUGCGAGACGUGCCAGCGGGGCGGCCAGUGGUGCUGGGUGCUGUGGGUGCCAGCGGGGACACGUGCUCCGCAUCUUGGUUGCUGUCUGUUGUGUCUUUUAAAGCAGUGAUUUCAAAUUGUAACAGCUUCACACGUUAAAAUUGCAGCUUCUCCCUCAUUGUGUUGUGGUCAAUGUGUUUCAACAGGUAGAGGAGGAAACUGGAAGGGGGGAAAUAAGGAAAGGAAGAAGGAGGAAGGACGUAUGGAAGGGGAAAUGCCUCCACCCCCUCCCUGCUUCGUUUCAUUUUGAGGUUUAAAAGCAAACCUAAGAAUUCAGAAGGAGGUGCCCUGAGCCCCUGCUUGUGGCCAAAGGCAGGGCUCUGCUCCUGGUGCGGCCUCCUUGUGUGCCCGGAGCAGGGGACAGGGCAAGGUGACACAGGCGGGUGCCACGUCAGCAGCCAGCACGCUCCUGCCUGUGGCUGCCAACAAAGGUGGCCAUUGAGAGCCUGCCCUCAGCGACUGUGCUGUGGGAACGGGGCUGAAACCACCGGCGUGGUGCUGUGCAGGCAGCUGAGGAGCCACGUGAGCUCAUCAUCUCCUCCUCUUCCUCCUCCUCCUCUCCAGCACAAGGUCUCCAGGGUGUCUGCGUUGCAGGCUGUGUGGUAGUGAGAGAGCUGGGUGGAAAUGGGCUCCCCCGGGUGAAUGAGCAAUACCCACCCAAGCACCCACAAAGCAAACGAUGUGCUUUUCCCCAGCCCAUUGACUGGGUUUGUCAGUUGAGGAUGCAACAGCAGAAUAAGGGGAAACGGAGCUUUUUAUUCCUCUCCUUGCUAAUUCCAGCCUGUGUGCGGCUCCAGCAGGAAUGAGGGUAUUAUUUUUGUUUCAAGGCAUUUCUGCUCCAGAGCAUAAAGUUACUCAGCAUUUGCAGGACCAGGUCAUGGUGGGUAUUUUUAUGCCGUGUCUAUUUUGCUCUGCCUCAGACUGACCCAUUACUGAUGCUUCCAGUGAGCAGGGGGUGAACACAGACAGUGCUUUGCUUGUACUUUGCAAAUCAAAAGAGUUUUAGUUCUGUUUGCAAAAAUGUAUUCAUGUUCAGAUGUUCUUUGUGCAGAACUGAAAGCACCUGAACCCCUGCCAGGGAAGGUUUGGUGAGCAGAGAGUGUAGGAGCCUGGCUACCCCAUCUUGUAUAAACACACUGGUGUUUUUGGAAGCAGACCUAGAGGAGUUUGCAAAUGCAUUUAUUUAAGCAGCCCAGCUGCUCCUACCAAUAAUGGAUUCACAGGCUAAUUGUGUAUUUACUCAGCUCACAGGCCACUGAGUUUUACAUGUUACAUGAUUUGCACAGAUCGAUGAGUAGCGUAGACAUACAAGCUCACAUCUGGAACACAUGAGCCGUGAAGAAGGGAUUUGCACAGUGACCCAGUUAGCACCUAGCAGCAUCUGGAUCUUCAAAUCUGGUAUUUGUCUUUCUUUUCUUGCAAUGAACUGUUAGAUGCUAUAAGGCAGAUUGCAGCAGUGCCCAUUUCAUAGGGCUGCAUGACUCCUUCAGGAUGCAGCUACCCAAAGAGCGAGGCUUGGGGCUGCUUCACUUCCCUGGCUGGCUAAGAAGGAAAACUCCAUAUGACCAUAGCACAGCUGGAUUGGGGACCUGCCCCACUCCCUGCUUUGUCAGGUGUAAAUCUUCCUGCCAGGGUGGGAGCAGCAAAUCCUCCUUCAAUUUUGGUCUGCUAAAAAACUUCCAUAGCUAAACAAGAGAAACUGAAUCGGCAGGUAACACAUUUAGAAAGGCAUCGUGGGAUGGAUUUAUUCCUGGUGCCCAUGAUAGAGUUGCUGGGUGAUGGUCCUUAUGAGUGGUGAUGGUCCUUAUGAGGCUGGGGGUGGCUGUGGGGCAGGAUUCCUGGCUGGCACACAUUGCUGAGCCACAGAGGCUUUUGCAGGCAAACAAAAGCCAAGCCAAAAAAAAACAUCCCCAAAACCCACUUCCCUCCCAGAACAUCCUCAGUGAGCAAGCAAAGAGCUGCUACCCAAGGGAAAUGCAUCAGAGCAUCCCAUCUCUUUUUAAUGCUCAUGGAGAGUCCCUAGGUGACAACCCUGCUCCUCCUGACCCUCCUGUGAGUCUCAUCAGGAUUGAUGGAGCUCCAAAAACUCCUGCUUUGGAGAUUCUGUGGCUAAGUGAGGCCUUAAACUUCCAUUCACAAAUCAAAGUGAGAAUAACAGUUUAAUGCUGGUGGUGGCAAAGGGACGUGUAAGCCUGGGAUCGCUGACAGGCUCUGCCAUCUGAAGGCAGAUGAAAAGGGUGAUCGCAACACUCAAGAAUUUAUUUAUUUAAAAGCUAUAACAAGGUUCCAAAGUGAUGCUGGGAGAUGGGACUCAUGGUACCUAAAUGCUCCUGUUUGCCAGCACGCUUAGAGUUCGCUGGGACUGAUAGGCCAACAAGUAGGGGUUGCAGAAAGGUGGUUCAGCCCUUCCAGCCUCUACAGCCAAGACCAAGGAUGUUCCACUGGGCAGAGGCACCGAGGGACCACUUGCUCUGUCCCAUCACCCAUCUGUUUGGACUGUAUGCUCCACACAGCUCUGGAAAUGGAUUUGAUUGCCUUAUCACACGCCCUGCUAUGUCUAUUUUUUUCCCCCCGAUAAACCCCAAAAUCUCUCCUGAUAAAUUACUAACCCAACAAGGAUUAAAUCAGUCGAACAGAACCAGUCAUCCUGCUCAUAGCGAGCUGCUUUCCACUUGGAAAAUCUAACUCGUUCAGCCACGUGUGUGUGAAGCAGUUUGAUUAACUGGGGCGAGGCGAAUCUAACCCCAACCGGAGGAUGCUGCGCUUCAAAAGGCGAAGUAACCCAGGAGCAGGAUCGCUGCCUGCGAGGUCCCCAAUCCGUGAUGCCACACGCCACCUCGUGUCGGGCGCAGGGAGUAGCUGGGUGCUCCUGCCCCAAUUUCCAGCCAUCUGACAUCAUUUCAGGGCUGGGGGGGCAGUUUUGCUUGGUUUUCUUUCUUUGCACCCUUUGGGAGCGUGGGGAACCCCUUGGGUCCUCCAUGGUGCUGUUAUUGCACGUUGGGUACCGGUGCUUGAUUUGGCUCAUGUAAUUGAAUUACACGUUGGAUGGAGAACAUGACCCUGCCUGUUUGUGUGGUGAGUCCUGCUAAGGACAGUGGGAUCUCCUCUGCCCCGCUGCUGUGUAUAAUAUCCUGCUUGUACCUUGCUUUCUGUCCAGGCAUGGAGUGACUUGGUCAAGGCCAACCUUGGAGUCAUUACCGGAUGGAGCUUUGUGAUUCCCAAGCACCGUAGACGCAGGACCUGGAAGCGCCUUUUAAAAAGACUCCAGGCUCCAGAUUUGGAAGGAUUUGUGCCUGUGACCGUUGUCCUUCCUGCAGCACCAGCGUGUGCUUGUGGAGACAGAUGGAGAGUCACAUGGGCUGCUCAACUACUGAACCAACAGCCCCCCUUCUGCACUCUCCCAAAUGCCUGAGGACAAGGCCUGAGAAACAAAAGCGGAUGGAAAGUCUUAUCAUAUGGCUGUAGGCAGUAAUCCUUCUUAUUUUCCACAGAAGUAUGUAAAGUAUUAUUUGAAUUCCCUGAGACUAACAGCCUACUCUUGGAGGUGAAACUGCCAAGGAUUUGCAAUUGUUCACAUUGUAGAGGAAAUAAUAGAAUAUCUCAAAAGUAAGGAAAUUCUUGCUCCAAAAAUACUUUUUUUCUAUGGUAUUUAGGAAAACAAACCCAAAACAGCUCAUUAUGGCUUCUCUGUCCUAUUUUAGUCCUAUUUUCAAAUGCAUCAUCGCUCUUGUAGUGAUUUAUUACACCCCAUCUCAGCUACAGUCAGCUCUAAAUUGCAGUUAAUUUUAGCAGAAUUCUCAUCUUCUGUGCAGAAAAGGUAUUUGAUACGUGUGAUCACAGCUGCUGGGCUGUCAUGGAUUAAGGGACCACGAACACUGGUACCAUGUACCCAACGGGGCACACUUCCACCGUGUGUUAAACCCCUACAACACCCCCGAAACCCAGCGGCUUUCUCCGUAAGUGAGAACAAAAUGUUUCUUAAGCUACCAAACCAAAAGCUUCCCCUGAGUCCAGUGUCCUUUCCUUAUUGGGAAAAGGAUGACCUAAUAACGUAACUCUUUCCCCAUUUCCAGCUGCACAUUGCUGGGUUUCAGAAGCAAAGUCAGAAACCAGAAUGGGUAAUGUUUUCAGCUGAGGUUGAGGAGCGUGGCUCUUUAGAGUCCUUGGUGCUCACAGACCACUCACUGCAGGCAAGUAUUUUUAACCAACGACUUCUGGCUUUCAGUUUUUGACCAGUCAAUUAUUAAAACAUCCUUCCCUGCUCCUACUGCUGGGGUUCUGCAAGUGUUUUUAUAUCCAUUGCUGCACCUGGUAGCUGGAACAGAGGAGGCUUAUUUGGGAAUGGUGAAAGUAAAAAGAGCACCUUCAUUCGCAACACAUGGGAUCCAUCUGAGCAAAUGUCUUUGUUUACUUGAUGGCCAGCAUUUUUCUCUAUCAUUAUUUUUUUUCCUCCACUCCUUUUAGCCUUGCAAAACCAACCUGGCUGUGGAGCAUAAACCCAAGGACUUUUUCAGCAUGGUACAUGUUGCUGGAGCUUUGCUGUUGGACAUGAGGUAAGCGGCAGGAUGAGCAGGUAUUUUCAGAUGCCAGCUUGAGCUGGCGGUGCUGACAGGUUGAAAAAUGAAUCUGGGGGUUGUAAGCUAAGCACAUUUUGAGCUGGGAGCAUCACAGAGAACAUCUGCCUGGUCAUUUCAACCGUGCCCCUGUUUUGCACUCCAAGCACGCUUUGUGUUUCAAGUGCAGCAAAGGCUGAUGAUUUACAUGUUAAAUCAAACCAUUUCAUUCAGGAUUCCUCCCAGGAGUAUAAAGCACUGAUGAUGGCCACCAACAACAAAGAGCAUGGUGACACUGCUAAAAUACCAUGGACUGGCCCCAGGGCAUGCUGAGUUCUGGAGUAUCAAAUUCAGACCUUUCUUUUGACAAGAAAGCCAGGAAAAUGAUCAGAGCAAGCGCUGUACCCACAUCAGCAUAAGUGACAGCAGCCACACAGCUCCCCACCUAACUGAUAACUCAUCAAACCUUUGCUAUUUCAUACAGAUCACGGGUCAAUUAAAUACAUGCACUGUCUGCAUCGAGUCCUGCACGGUGCCGGUGCUUUCCCAAUGGGAACAACCCUUCCCAUCGGGUGCAAACAGCCCACCACCAGACCCCAUCGCCCGCACCACGGAGGUAGAACCGUGCAUCACUCACCAGGUCAGCUUCGCACUCUCUCUUGCAAGUGCUCUGCGCGUCC